GACGUAGGAUGCAAGCGUUGUCCGGAUUUAUUGGGCGUAAAGAGUUCGUAGGUGGUUUGUUAAGUCUGAUGUUAAAGACUGGGGCUCAACCUCGGAAAUGCAUUGGAUACUGGCAGACUUGAGUGUGGUAGAGGCAAUCGGAAUUCCAGGUGUAGAGGUGAAAUUCGUAGAUAUUGGGAAGAACACCGGUGGCGAAGGCGGCUCUCUGGACCGAGACUGACGCUGAGGCGCGAAAGCGUGGGGAGCAAACAGG
rnacentral:rRNA from 1 species